AAAUGCAUUUAGGUGCAGCGUCGCGUGUUUCUUGCCGGAGGUAGAGCUACUGGAUGGCUAAUGGGCCCUACAAGGUUACUGACGUCAGCCAAACUCCGAAUGCCGGUAAGUGAGAGCGUGGCAGUGAGACUGCGGGGGAUAAGCUCCGUAGUCGAGAGGGAAACAGCCCAGAACACCAGCUAAGGCCCCUAAGCGUGUGCUAAGUGGGAAAGGAUGUGGAGUUGCACAGACAACCAGGAGGUUGGCUUAGAAGCAGCCACCCUUGAAAGAGUGCGUAAUAGCUCACUGGUCAAGUGAUUCCGCGCCGACAAUGUAGCGGGGCUCAAGUACACCGCCGAAGCUGUGUCAUUCACGCAUGUGCCCGGUCUUCGGAUCCAGGCGUGUGGAUGGGUAGGGGAGCGUCGUGUGGCGGGUGAAGCGGCGGGGUGACCCAGUCGUGGACGCCACACGAGUGAGAAUGCAGGCAUGAGUAGCGAAAGACGGGUGAGAAACCCGUCCGCCGAAUGACCAAGGGUUCCAGGGCCAGGCUAAUCCGCCCUGGGUAAGUCGGGACCUAAGGCGAGGCCGACAGGCGUAGUCGAUGGACAACGGGUUGAUAUUCCCGUACCGGCGAAGAACCGCCCAUACCGAACCCGGUGAUGCUAACCGUAUGAAGUCUGUGACGCUUUCGGGUGUUGCGGGUGGAGUUCGGGAUCCUAUCCGGUAGUAGGUAAGCGAUGGUGUGACGCAGGAGGGUAGCUUCCGCGUGGCGAUGGUUGUCCACGUCCAAGGGUGUAGGACGGGGUGUAGGCAAAUCCGCAUCCCUCACUUCAAUGUGGUGUCUGAGACCUGAUGGUGACCGCAUGUGCGGGAAGCAGGGUGAUCCCAUGCUGCCUAGAAAAGCAUCUAGCGAGGUUCGAGCCGCCCGUACCCCAAACCGACUCAGGUGGUCAGGUAGAGAAUACCAAGGAGAUCGAGAGAAUCGUGGUUAAGGAACUCGGCAAAAUGCCCCCGUAACUUCGGGAGAAGGGGGGCCUGAGGGGUGAAGCCGCUUGCCGGCUAGCUCUUGAGGGCCGCAGAGACCAGGGAGAAGCGACUGUUUACUAAAAACACAGGUCCGUGCUAAGUCGCAAGACGAUGUAUACGGACUGACGCCUGCCCGGUGCUGGAAGGUUAAGAGGACCGGUUAGUAGUCUUUUGGCUGCGAAGCUGAGAAUUUAAGCCCCAGUAAACGGCGGUGGUAACUAUAACCAUCCUAAGGUAGCGAAAUUCCUUGUCGGGUAAGUUCCGACCUGCACGAAUGGCGUAACGACUUCCCAACUGU
rnacentral:rRNA from 1 species